rnacentral:sRNA from 1 species
AGUUCGGCCACGUCCCUGGCCACGUCGCGGGCGCUCUCGCCAUCUUCGCCGCUUCCUCUCAGGGGCUGCCGCUGCCUGAGCCGCCCAGCCCCGGGGCCGCCGCGCUGCGCCGACCGCCGCCGCCGCCAUGAACAUCUUCCGGCUGACUGGGGACCUGUCCCACUUGGCGGCCAUCGUCAUCCUGCUGCUGAAGAUCUGGAAGACGCGCUCCUGCGCGGGUGGAUUGGCAUUCUGACGUUGUAUCUCAUGCACAGAGGGAAGCUGGACUGUGCUGGUGGAGCCUUGCUCAGCAGUUACUUGAUCGUCCUCAUGAUUCUCCUGGCAGUUGUCAUAUGUACUGUGUCAGCCAUCAUGUGUGUCAGCAUGAGAG